rnacentral:rRNA from 1 species
GAUGAACGCUAGCGAUAGGCUUAACACAUGCAAGUCGAGGGGCAGCACUAGGUAGCUUGCUAUCUGGGUGGCGACCGGCGCACGGGUGCGUAACGCGUAUGCAACUUGCCCUAUACAGGAGGAUAACCCGUCGAAAGACGGACUAAUACUGCGUAUGCUCACAACUUGGCAUCAAGUGGUGAGGAAAGAAAUUCGGUAUAGGAUAGGCAUGCGUCCCAUUAGCUUGUUGGUGAGGUAACGGCUCACCAAGGCAACGAUGGGUAGGGGAACUGAGAGGUUUAUCCCCCACACUGGUACUGAGACACGGACCAGACUCCUACGGGAGGCAGCAGUGAGGAAUAGUGGUCAAUGGGCGCGAGCCUGAACCAGCCAAGUCGCGUGAAGGAUGACUGUCUUAUGGAUUGUAAACUUCUUUUAUACGGGAAUAACAAGAGUCACGUGUGACUCCCUGCAUGUACCGUAUGAAUAAGCAUCGGCUAACUCCGUG